GCUAGCGUAGCUUAAUUUAAAGUAUGGCACUGAAGAUGCCAAGCUGGGUCCUAAAAAGCCCCGCAUGCA
rnacentral:tRNA from 1 species